CAAUAGCGUAUAUUAAAGUUGUUGCAGUUAAAAAGCUCGUAGUUGAAUUUCUGGUGGGCGCGCCGGUCUUCCAAGUGUUGUACUGGGCGCAGUCCGCCAUCCUUGUGGAGAGGGCUCGCAUUGAGUUGCGUGUCGGAUCUGCAUCAUUUACUGUGAAAAAAUUAGAGUGUUUAAAGCAGGCUGUCGCUUGAAUACAUUAGCAUAGAAUAAUAAGAUAGGACUUCGGUCUAUUUUGUUGGUCGCGAACCGAGGUAAUGAUUAAUAGGGGUAGUUGGGGGUAUUCAUGUUUAAUUGUCAGAGGUGAAAUUCUUGGAUUUAUGAAAGAUGAACAACUGCGAAAGCAUUUACCAAGGAUGUUUNCAUUA
rnacentral:rRNA from 1 species